rnacentral:lncRNA from 1 species
CUUGUUGCUGCAGAAAGGUACAGCAGUUAGCUAACGUUAGCAGUCAGAGAUUGCUCUGUCAGAGACGAUGUAAGAUUAACUUCUUCGUUUAAACUGUUAAUUUAGCGGAUUCAUUAGGUUUUUGAGAGAUUUAGUGAAUUAAACAGAGUAUUGAAGUUACUGUGUGUUUAUAUUUAUGGUUAAUUACAGUAGGAAAACGUAUUUAUACGAAGCAAAGCAGAGCUAAUAUACUGCUUGGCUAACUAGAAUAGAUAGCUUAGUUAGCUACUCAGUACUGCAUGUGUAUGUAUGUGCUUUAUGUGUAUAUGAACUUUGUAUGGCUAGUGUUAUAAUCUCACAGAAAUAUGCUUAUUCAGUGUUUGUGUAGCAGUUACUUGUUUUGUGGUUCAUUUGUUUAGUCAAUACUGCAUACCUCUGUCUCUUAUCUGCAGAAACUGCUGCUUAGGUGUAUCUGUGCUACCUGCAGAAAUGAAGAUGUUCCAAGUCUUCUGUUCAUAUUCUUGAUUUUCCAACAUGACAAAAGUUUUUCUCCAUGAAAAUCCAAUCAAGAGACUUUACAAAUUCAAAAUGUUUAACUGCUGAAAGCGGUUAAGCAAAAGGCAUUCAAAAGAAUCUCCAAAUCAGCAAAAGUUGUU